GAAAUGGAAAGACUUGGAAAAAAGCAUAAAAUAAGCCAGACCCUAAGAAACAUAGACUGCAUGGUUUCCCACAUUUGUGGCAACUAGAAUGUGCCUAUAAAUCUACAAGUAAACACACUGGAUGAUAAAAGAAAACAACAACAACACUGGGACAAGAUAAAUUAUAAAUGUCUCUAGGC